UAGUCCACGCCGUAAACGAUGUCUACUAGAUCGUGGGAACUCUGACGUUCUCGCGGUCGAAGCAAAAGUAUUAAGUAGACCGCCUAGGGAGUACGGUCGCAAGGCUAAAACUCAAAGGAAUUGACGGGGCUCACACAAGCGGUGGAGCAUGUGGCUUAAUUCGAAGCAACGCGAAGAACCUUAUCCUGGGUUUGACAUAUAUGGAUGCCUGCCGUGAAAGCGGAUUUGGCUGCCUUCGGGUGAAACUUAUACAGGUGCUGCAUGGCUGUCGUCAGCUCGUGUCGUGAGAUGUUGGGUUAAGUCCUUUAACGAGCGAAACCCUUAUCGUUAGUUGCCAGCGCGUUAUGGCGGGGACUCUAACGAGACUGCCGGUGUUAAACC
rnacentral:rRNA from 1 species